AUUGAACGCUGGCGGCAUGCCUAACACAUGCAAGUCGAACGGCAGCACGGCAGUAGCAAUACUGUGGGUGGCGAGUGGCGGACGGGUGAGGAAUGCGUCGGAAUCUGCCCAGUCGUGGGGGAUAACUAGCCGAAAGGUUAGCUAAUACCGCAUACGACCGAGAGGUGAAAGCGGGGGACCGCAAGGCCUCGCGCGAUUGGAUGAGCCGACGUCGGAUUAGCUAGUUGGUGGGGUAAAGGCCUACCAAGGCGACGAUCCGUAGCUGGUCUGAGAGGAUGAUCAGCCACACUGGAACUGAGACACGGUCCAGACUCCUACGGGAGGCAGCAGUGGGGAAUAUUGGACAAUGGGCGCAAGCCUGAUCCAGCAAUGCCGCGUGUGUGAAGAAGGCCUCGGUUGUAAGACACUUUAUCUAGAACGAAAGACGUAGGAGUUAAUAACUACUGACGUGCUGACGGUACCGUCGAGGAAGUAAAGACACCGGCUAACUU
rnacentral:rRNA from 1 species